ensembl:snRNA U4 U4 spliceosomal RNA
GUCUUUGUGCAGUCGCAGUAUUGUAGCCUGUGAAGUUUAUCCGAGGCGUCAUUAUUGCUAGUUGAAAACUUUACCCAGUACCCCACUUUAACGACUUGAAAUAGAGUCAUCAAUGGCAAUUUUUGACGAUCUCAAAUUUUGA